UCUACAUAAGUCAGCUUCCAAAUCAACAGAGGUCAGCUUCCAAGUCAACAGAACCAACUCUAGAGCCAUAACGGGCCGUAAUAUUACAUAGAUAUCAUUAUAAAAAGGCGAAUAUCUAUCAGUAAUCUACGAUAAAACAAGUACGAAAAACGUUUUUUUUAUAUUUUAAGUGCUAUGAGGGUGAAAAAAAUAUAUUUCUAUAUUUUCUUUUUCAGCGUAAUGUUCAUUGAAGAUUAUAUGAUGUAAAGUCAAAUUAGAAUUAUUUAUAUUUGAAUAACU